ensembl:lncRNA
GGGACCAAUAUUUCUGUCGGACGCGUACUGUCUUCGAGUGUGCAAAGGACACACCAUCUCAUUGACUGCGCCUGUCCCUACAUAGGAAGACGCAAUGAGAGCUUAGGUAAGCUCCUCCACGACCUGUUCUGCAGCAACACAACUCCCCUGGACUACACCCCUGGACUACACCAGCCACGGAGUAACAGCAACAAGAGAUAGCCGUGGGAGAGUCAGAGUUCUGCUCCUGGAAUACAAACAAGUCCUGUCUCUAUAACACCCCUCCUGCAUUUGUAAUCCACCGACUCUGAUGACGAAGGGGGAAAAAAGUUUGCUUUCACCUCUGGCGAACAGUUUUGCCUGCAGUGCUGAAAAGGCGUUGUGUUUCCAGCUCAUUUGUUUGUUUAA